rnacentral:rRNA from 1 species
CCUACGGGAGGCAGCAGUGGGGAAUAUUGGACAAUGGGAGCAACCCUGAUCCAGCCAUGCCGCGUGUGUGAAGAAGGCCCUCGGGUUGUAAAGCACUUUCAGCGAGGAAGAACGCCUAGCGGUUAAUACCCGCUAGGAAAGACAUCACUCGCAGAAGAAGCACCGGCUAACUCCGUGCCAGCAGCCGCGGUAAUACGGAGGGUGCAAGCGUUAAUCGGAAUUACUGGGCGUAAAGCGCGCGUAGGUGGCUUGAUAAGCCGGUUGUGAAAGCCCCGGGCUCAACCUGGGAACGGCAUCCGGAACUGUCAAGCUAGAGUGCAGGAGAGGAAGGUAGAAUUCCCGGUGUAGCGGUGAAAUGCGUAGAGAUCGGGAGGAAUACCAGUGGCGAAGGCGGCCUUCUGGACUGACACUGACACUGAGGUGCGAAAGCGUGGGUAGCAAACAGGAUUAGAUACCCUGGUAGUCCACGCCGUAAACGAUGUCGACCAGCCGUUGGGUGCCUAGCGCACUUUGUGGCGAAGUUAACGCGAUAAGUCGACCGCCUGGGGAGUACGGCCGCAAGGUUAAAACUCAAAUGAAUUGACGGA